UACGUAGGGUGCAAGCGUUGUCCGGAAUUAUUGGGCGUAAAGAGCUCGUAGGCGGUUUGUCGCGUCUGCUGUGAAAACCCGAGGCUCAACCUCGGGCCUGCAGUGGGUACGGGCAGACUAGAGUGCGGUAGGGGAGAUUGGAAUUCCUGGUGUAGCGGUGGAAUGCGCAGAUAUCAGGAGGAACACCAAUGGCGCAGGCAGAUCGUCUGGGCCGGUAACUGACGCUGAGGAGCGAAAGCAUGGGGAGCGAACAGG
rnacentral:rRNA from 1 species